AGGGGGAAGAGGAGAAGCGGUGGCCCAGCUCCCCACCCCUCCUCUCCUCUGAAAGACUCUGGGAACCAGGCGGGGGUUUGGGCUUGGUGUGGCUCCUCUGUAGACCGUGACUCACGGUGCGUCAUCCGAACAGAUGGCAGGAGCCACCAGUGUUUCUGCUGACUCAUCAGAAAGCUGGGCUCGGAGUUGUCUGCGGGUGUGGGGGUGUCAGGGGAACAGGCCCUGGGGCAGGAGCAGGGAGAUGGGAAGACUAAAGGAGAAGAGAGGUUACUUGAGGGAUGUGGGACCGAGGAGUACCGCUGCCCCCUCAGCAACCCCACUCCCAGGUCGCUUUUCCUGCAAAGAACCUCCUAGAGAAAAUGUCAACGAAGGGAGGGUGUAGGGCGGGCAGCCGCUCCCCAGCAGCAGCCCGAGGAGGCCCUGAGAAAACAAAAGGAGGAAAUAAGUCCUAGAACUGGAGGCCCCCAGGCUGCUCAGGGAGGGAGGCAAGGUCUCUUGGGGCCCCUUGACCUUGACUGAAUGUCUGGGGAAAGUACAAUUAGACCCCUUUUAGAGAAAGGGGGUUGGGAGUUUAUUCAUCGGGAGAAUUAUUGUGUCUGUUCAGUUAUCAGAGGAACAGUCCACUCAUAAUUACUUUCAUAAGUGGACUCCGUAUUGGGGAGGGAGUUAUUCCCUUUAGGAUUUCUUAAGAAGGAGUGGCAGGAAUAGGGGAGAGUAUGAGACCGAUCCUCCUCUGUUUUACAGGACAAGUUCUCCGUGAAAGCGUGAAAGCAUCAAGGAUCUUGACUUCUUUAAACAUAGCUAAACCUGCUCUUCUUUAAGGGAGUCUGGCUCAGUGCUGUGGCCUGAAUUCAACAUAAUUUAGCUAAUGCAGAGAAACCCAGGGUGAUCCAUGCGGAGACCUUCCCCACCCACCACUCCCAUAGCUCCCUGGCCCUAAUCUUGGACUCUGAUCUGUUACUGGGGCACCAUAGUGAAUCCCUAUCGGGAAAAAGGUGGUUGGACAAGGCGAAGAAUAGAAGUGGAUAGAAGGAUUUAAUCUUUGACUUAGUAGGAGGACAGAGGAAGGAGAGAUGGGAAGGGAAUGUCUGAGCCCGAGAAAACUUUAAGAGUGAUGAGAUUGGUCACUACACAUGAAGUGACCCUCGUUUGAGACAUUUGAAGCUAUAUCAAAACAUCAGGAAUCAGCAACCAAGAAAGCUUAUUACAGGAGAGAGAUCAGAGAAGUCUUCAAGAGAACCUGCUUAUAGAAAUGAAAUGUCAGGAGACAGAAGAAGGAAAAAAACAUUAUGAUUGAAAUGCUGCCUGA